GACGAACGCUGGCGGCGUGCUUAACACAUGCAAGUCGAACGGAAAGGCCCUGCCUUUGUGGGGUGCUCGAGUGGCGAACGGGUGAGUAACACGUGAGUAACCUGCCCUUGACUUUGGGAUAACUUCAGGAAACUGGGGCUAAUACCGGAUAGGAGCUCCUGCUGCAUGGUGGGGGUUGGAAAGUUUCGGCGGUUGGGGACGGACUCGCGGCUUAUCAGCUUGUUGGUGGGGUAGUGGCUUACCAAGGCUUUGACGGGUAGCCGGCCUGAGAGGGUGACCGGCCACAUUGGGACUGAGAUACGGCCCAGACUCCUACGGGAGGCAGCAGUGGGGAAUAUUGCACAAUGGGCGGAAGCCUGAUGCAGCAACGCCGCGUGCGGGAUGACGGCCUUCGGGUUGUAAACCGCUUUCGCCUGUGACGAAGCGUGAGUGACGGUAAUGGGUAAAGAAGCACCGGCUAACUACGUG
rnacentral:rRNA from 1 species